rnacentral:rRNA from 1 species
AUGAGCCGUGCUCGUUCCUUCCUCUACAUGGUGGUCAACCACUACAGAUGGCCCAAACCCCGAUCCAAGCUGGGAUUCUAUGGCGAACUCGAAGAGCAGAAGGCCUGCGUGUACUCGGUGCGCCGCAUCGACCCGUCGACCCUCUUCCACCGCGAGGAUCAACCGCAGGCGGCGCCGGCGACGGAGAAGACUCGUCUGCCUCCCCCCAUCACGACCUUCGGCCAUCCCGUAAUUGGCUUCAAUGGGCGGACGAUGGAGUUCAUGCUCUUCGGCCGCGCCAGGGACAAGAUCCUCGCCGCACCACGCUUGAAGUCUCCGGAACAUAAACCCGUACUCUACGACCUCGCCUCGCGGACCUCGUGCAGCCUGCCCGGCAUGAGUGUGCCCAAGUGCGGAUCCCUGUGGCUCGCCGUCGGCGACGAUUUAUAUGUCAUGGAGGAUGCUCCGUUGUGGUGGGAGCGGGAAGACGAUGCGUCAUCCAAGAACCCCAUGGAGGCGCUCGUCCAGGCGGGAAAAAAUCCCAUGGACCGGGCAUGGCAUCUCCUCCCCGCGCCUCCUUACGUGCCACCGCCGCCGCACGGCUAUCCCUGCGACAUAGUCAGCACCGCCGCGGUGGUCGGCGACUCCCACAUCUGGGUCUCCUCCAAGGGCCAGGGCACCUUCUUCCUGGAUACAGAGACCCGCGCAUGGAGCAAGGCCGCCGACUGGGACCUGCCGUUCCAGGGACAGGUGCAGCAUGCCCCGGAGCACGGCCUCUGGUACGGAUUCUCGGCCAGAGACAAGGGCGUUCUCUGUGCGGCGGACCUCAGCAGCCUCGUCUCCACGGGCGAGCAGCCGGUGCCGCGCCCUGGUAGCCAUGAGCUGGACAUGGGCAUCGUGGCACCCGAGGGGCGCACGGAGCGACAGGAUUGCUCGUGCCUCGUGCACCUAGAUGGUGGCCGCUUCUGUGUCGCCAACUACUACUCCAAAGUGGUCAUGCUCACCGGCAUGGAGGUCGAGCGUCGCGGCGAGGUUCUCCACUUGAUCAAGCACAAGUCGUGCAUUUACCCCCUACGCGGAAACUGCUUUGAAUGCCUGCUCUAG